AUGCAUUGGACACUUGCGCAGAAAGAACUUAAAACGCUCCCAAGCCUCAUACAAACUUUCAUCUUCUAGUUGUUUGAAAAAUGUCAAAUUAUUUUGUAGCUU